CGGAGUAAGCUUGAGUGAACUGUCUAUCGCUAUUACAUCGCACAUAUGCCUCACUUGCGCAACAGCCUGGUGGUUUUAUGAAGCUGGCAGAACUGCGGAGUUUGCUGUGGCUGACAUGGCAACAACAAGGUCCAUAUUAGGCAGGAAUUAAAGUGAAUACUGACAAAGAAGCAUUUAAACACAUCCCCAUGUCUACCAUGUGACCACAAAAGAGAGAUCUGCAGAAGAGAUACAAAUGAAACUCUGGCGAGAGUCACAAUACAUACUUCCCUUUUUGAUCUGUAACCAUCACACAAGAACACAAAUCCACAUGACUUGGUGAGGUGUCUUAUUUCUGUUAAUUUGCAAUUAGAUAAAUACAAUCACCUGUGUAACUGUGUCCUUGUCAAUUCUAUGAGUUACCACCUAUUAAUUAAGAAGUAAUAAUUAUUUAAAAAGAAAAUCUAUGUAAGCACUCAGACCUCAACCUGUUUUCACAAUUUUCAUUAGACACUGCUGUGAAGAACAAUGGCAACUCUUGCCCUCAGACGUAACUUCCUUGAUAGCAGAUAACUGGAAUGAGGUCUUGAACGGAUCCAAUAAUUUCCUUAGCAUGCUGCUAUCUGGGUUCACUUUGAGAUUUUCUGACAUUUUCACAGAUUGUGGCCCAAAAUAAACAAACAAACACAAA